rnacentral:rRNA from 1 species
GACGAACGCUGGCGGCGUGCUUAACACAUGCAAGCCGAACGGUAAGGCCCUUCGGGGUACACGAGUGGCGAACGGGUGAGUAACACGUGGGUGAUCUGCCCUGCACUUCGGGAUAAGCCUGGGAAACUGGGUCUAAUACCGGAUAGGACUCCGGACUGCAUGGUCUGGGGUGGAAAGCUUUUGCGGAGUGGGAUGGGCCCGCGGCCUAUCAGCUUGUUGGUGGGGUGAUGGCCUACCAAGGGGACGACGGGUAGCCGGCCUGAGAGGGUGACCGGCCACACUGGGACUGAGAUACGGCCCAGACUCCUACGGGAGGCAGCAGUGGGGAAUAUUGCACAAUGGGCGCAAGCCUGAUGCAGCGACGCCGCGUGAGGGAUGACGGCCUUCGGGUUGUAAACCUCUUUCAGCAUCGACGAAGCGAAAGUGACGGUAGGUGCAGAAGAAGGACCGGCCAACUACGUGCCAGCCGCCGCCGUAA